rnacentral:misc_RNA from 1 species
AAGUCGUAACAAGGUUUCCGUAGGUGAACCUGCGGAAGGAUCAUUAAUGAAAUUAUAAUCCGGCGAGGGAAAGGCGGAGAGUUGUAGCUGGCCCUAGGCAUGUGCACGCUCUCUUCUGGACUUUCGCCGUAUGGGCGCGGGGCGACCCGCGUCUUCAUAUACCUCUUCGUGUAGAAAGUCUUUGAAUGUUUUUACGAUCAUCGAGUCGUGACUUCUAGGAGACGCGAUUCUUUGAGACAAAAGUUAUUACAACUUUCAGCAACGGAUCUCUUGGCUCUC